rnacentral:rRNA from 1 species
AUUGAACGCUGGCGGCAGGCUUAACACAUGCAAGUCGAGCGGAGAUGAGGUGCUUGCACCUUAUCUUAGCGGCGGACGGGUUAGUAAUGCUUAGGAAUCUGCCGAUUAGUGGGGGACAACAUUCCGAAAGGAAUGGUAAUACCGCAUACGUCCUACGGGAGACAGCAUGGGAUCUUCGGACCUUGCGAUAGUAGAUGAGCUUAGGUCGGAGUAGCUGGUUGGUCGGGUAAAGGCCUACCAAGGCGACGAUGUGUAGCGGGUCUGAGAGGAUGAUCCGCGAGACUGGGACUGGGACACGGCCCAGACUCCUACGGGAAGAAGCAGUGGAGAAUAUUGGACAAUGGGGGGAACCAUGAUCCAGCCAUGCGGCGUGUGUGAAGAAGGCCUUAUGGUUGUAAAGCACUUUAAGCGAGGAGGAGGAUACUGAGACUAAUCCUCUUGGAUAGUGGACGUUACUCGCAGAAUAAGCACCGGCUAACUCUGUGCCAGCAGCCGCAGUAA